rfam:Erinaceus europaeus unplaced genomic scaffold scaffold00031, whole genome shotgun sequence
AAAAAUAAUCAUCAUGGUAGUAACCAUGAGGCAAGAAUAAUGCAGAAAGACUUUGACAGCACAGCUCAGCAUAAUACCUGAAGCUGCCACUAAUCUUUCCUGUAUUU